AAACCAUCAGCAUUAAAAAUACCAGGCUAGGGAAGCUGCGGUCGCGAGAAGGCUCAGGAAUCGAGUCAGAUGGGGGCUAGCCUGCAGAAACGCAAACGUCGCAGUUAGAGGCUCCUUUUAAAUAGAGAUCCGGUGUGAGAUAUCACUUAAUCGCCUAGAAUUCCCGCGACCGGGGAGUUUGCCGCCCUCCUUCGCAGAACAUGGCCCUAAUUCAUCUCUCCAAAAGGAGAGACUGAGGGAGUUAACUGUCAGGCUGCCGCACGUAAAAGCCUCUCUUCCGUCCCUCCCCCCUACCCAAUUCACUGAUUUAAGCCAACCACAAAAUUACAUCAGAAAAGUAUAUUUUGGAAGAAGGGCGGGGUCGGAGUAGAUAAUCCGCAUUCAGAUUAAAUCUACCGAGAGAAUGAGGGGCGUGUAUUUGUUGAGGUCACCAACUACCGAGAAUCACGUUCAGUUCUCAGGGAAAGCACCGGAGAGGGGGAAGGGUGGGCGCGGGUCCUAGGGUGAACCCCGCGCCGGCGGGGGGUGCGGGCGCUCGCGCGUGGAGGUGGGAGACUCCCGGAUGAUCCCACGCGCGGCCCCGGCGCGCCGGGCAGGAGCGCGCGGGGCUGCGAUUCACUCGCUGCGGGCGUCCCUAAUGGGCACUCGUGCAUUCUUGCUCGUGCGGUGAGCGCACGCACGCUGUAGCUGGGUUUCAGGCCCCCACAUAAAGGUGGGGGGGGUGCGCCGAGCGAAGGAGCUGCAGGCAGAUUUUCUUUCUCUCUCAGGAGCUGGGAAAAGGGCCAGCCCCGUGCCCUGCACGCCUGGCUCUGCUCGGCAGCAUGCGGGUGAGCUGAGAGCCGGUUGAGCAGCGGCGGCGCACAGUUCGGGCCGUGUCACCAUUUCUUCGCCUGCUGACCUGCCCUGGAGCGGGAGAAGGCGGCAGCACCUCAGAGGCUCUGCAACAUUGCUCUUUGGUGUGGUUGGCACCUCGAACAUCAUCUUGCUCGAGUAGAUUCUCAAGAACUACUCACCGAAUGAGAGCAUCUUCGUGAAGUGUGGAUUAUCAGACAAAUGCAUGAUGGAAUCAAUGCAAAGAGAAACAAGAAACGAAAAGCAAGAACAAGGCUCAGAGAAGCCAAGAGACACUCCACGGCCCUGUAGCUGAGCAGCAUGGAACAAUUGCUUCUACUUUAAUUUCCGGUGCUUACGAAGGCUGAGCUGAAGGCUGCACCACCAGAAGCUUGGUGAGGUGGAAAAGCCGCCACGGGAGUCUGGAUUGGAAUUACCUGACGCAUCCCGAAUUGCUCUGGCUACGGUGGGAGAAGACCAUCGUGGGCGAGAGCGGAAGCAGAGAUCCCAGUGAGGAGGCUGCCGGAUGCACGUGGAGGGGAAGAAGGUGUUGACCUGGACCAGGGAGCAGCGGAGGUGAUGGUGCAGGACUCCAUGCCGGGUGUAUUUUAAAGGAACCAGUGGAGAAUUUCAGCUCCUGUGAAUAUCGGACUUAGCCUAGUAGCUGUGCGGUAAGUAUUGAACAAUGUGUUGGCCCCAGACCCUUGGGAGCUCCCUUAAGAAUGCCUGAGGAGGACUGGGAGAUACUGGUGUGUCCGUCUUUGGGUCAAUGACUGGCUUGAUGGACUAAACUUGUAUAGAUCUCUCCAGGGGGAGGAAGCAAAACUGAUAAGCACAGAAGUACAUCAAGUAGACUGUAAGAACAUUUUAGAUGCCAAGGCUGGUAAGAAGGUCAUAGGAGAAGGCAGACCAGGGGAGCAAGAGGCAAAAAACCAAAGCCAUUCAUUAUUUUUAAAUAAACUUUAAAUUUUCAGUUUUAGAUUUACAGAAAAAUUGUAAGGGCAAUACAGAGAGUUUUCAUAUAUUUCAUGCUCAGUUGACCCUAUUAUUAAUCUAUUAGCAUGGUGCAUCUGUCCCAAUUAAUGAACAAGCAUCGAUACAUUGUUAUUAACUAAUAUCAAUGCAGAUUUCUUUGGUUUUUACCUAGUAUC